rnacentral:rRNA from 1 species
GAGGGAAGCUUGCGCAAUGGGCGAAAGCCAGAUGCAGCGACGCCGCGUGGGCGAUGAAGGCCUUCGGGUUGUAAAGCCCUUUUCCGAGGGAAGAGAAGGGACGGUACCUCGGGAAUAAGCCUCGGCUAACUACGUGCCAGCAGCCGUGGUAAUACGUAGGAGGCUAGCGUUAUCCGGAUUCAUUGGGCGUAAAGCGUGCGCAGGCGGUCUUGCAAGUCGGGCGUGAAAGCCCUCGGCUCAACCGGGGGAGGUCGUCCGAAACUGCGGGGCUUGAGGGGAGGAGAGGAGGGCGGAAUUCCGGGGGUAGCGGUGCUGUGCGUAGAGAUCGGGAGGAA